rnacentral:tRNA from 1 species
GCCCGGCUGGCUCAAUGGUUGAGCGUCUGCCUUCAGCCCAGGGCGUGAUCCUGGAGUCCUGGGAUCGAGUCCCACGUCAGGCU